rnacentral:lncRNA from 1 species
UGAUGAUUUUACGAAGUAACCUAUAGUUUAAAAUAUAUUAUUCCGAAUUUUUUACUAUAGUACCCUAUAGUUUUAACCGUAGAGGAUAACGGAAAGAGAAACACAACUAUAAAUACGAAAGUAAUAUAUUUUAAGUCAUAGAACACUUAAGUGAGAAAGCGCGAAUUCACAUAGGUAGUAUUUGAAGUUCUUUUUUUAUUUAAAUAGUUUUUAUUCCUAAAUUUUACUGAUAUG